GAUGAACGCUGGCGGCGUGCCUAAUACAUGCAAGUCGAGCGAACAGACGAGGAGCUUGCUCCUCUGACGUUAGCGGCGGACGGGUGAGUAACACGUGGAUAACCUACCUAUAAGACUGGGAUAACUUCGGGAAACCGGAGCUAAUACCGGAUAAUAUAUUGAACCGCAUGGUUCAAUAGUGAAAGACGGUUUUGCUGUCACUUAUAGAUGGAUCCGCGCCGCAUUAGCUAGUUGGUAAGGUAACGGCUUACCAAGGCAACGAUGCGUAGCCGACCUGAGAGGAUGAGCGGCCACACUGGAGCUGAGACACGGUCCAGACUCCUACGGGAGGCAGCAGUAGGGAAUCUUCCGCAAUGGGCGAAAGCCUGACGGAGCAACGCCGCGUGAGUGAUGAAGGUCUUCGGAUCGUAAAACUCUGUUAUUAGGGAAGAACAAAUGUGUAAGUAACUAUGCACGUCUUGACGGUACCUAAUCAGAAAGCCACGGCUAACUACGUG
rnacentral:rRNA from 1 species